CGCGUAGGCGGGUAGAUAAGUCAGACGUGAAAUUCCGGGGCUCAACCUCGGAGCUGCGUCUGAAACUAUUUAUCUUGAGGAGUGGCGGAGAAAACGGAAUUCCACACGUAGCGGUGAAAUGCGUAGAUAUGUGGAGGAACACCUGUGGCGAAAGCGGUUUUCUAGCUUAUUCCUGACGCUGAUGCGCGAAAGCAAGGGGAUCAAACA
rnacentral:rRNA from 1 species